rnacentral:rRNA from 1 species
ACGUAGGGUGCGAGCGUUAAUCGGAAUUACUGGGCGUAAAGCGUGCGCAGGCGGUUUUGUAAGACAGGCGUGAAAUCCCCGGGCUCAACCUGGGAACUGCGCUUGUGACUGCAAGGCUAGAGUACGGCAGAGGGGGGUGGAAUUCCACGUGUAGCAGUGAAAUGCGUAGAGAUGUGGAGGAACACCAGUGGCGAAGGCGACUCUCUGGUCUGUAACUGACGCUGAGGCGCGAAAGCGUGGGGAGCAAACAGGA